UGGAUAGCUCAGUUGGUUAGAGUCUAGUGCUGAUAAAGCCAAGGUUGCAGGUUCAGUCCCUGUCUGGGACAG